UUACAUACGCCUCCUGCCACAUCGGAUUUCCUUCUAUUUUGUCAGGGGUGGCAUCAUCCAGUGAGUAAAUCUGUUAGUGAUCUCCCUCGCAUAACCUAGGAAUUCUCUCAGGAUCCAUUUUUCCAGUAGUUUUGAGAAAGCGACCAACAACAGCAAAGAGAGUAGUUCUUCCAUUCCAAGAGCAGCCAUCUUGCUUAACUGACAAACUAGAGAGAACUGCAAGGACUCAGUACAUCCCUGGCACAGUCCAUUCUCUCUCACAGCAUAUUGUAUGAGACUGUGUGAGUGCUGCUUCCACGCUACACUAAAAACCCAUGGUCCCUGCAUUAUUUGAGCAACUGACAAGCUUCUGAAGUUCAGGUUCGCGAACGCUGAGAGCAGCACCCAGUGGAUUUGUGGCAGAUUUUUGAUGAACCAAGCUGGCUGGUGUCGCCUCAGUUUGUCUAAAUUACCAAGGACCGCUGGAAUUUCCCUGGGAAUAUGUUUCGGGAAAGGUCAGAAACUCUUCAGUCGUCUUCACGCUUCCACUCAGUAGCAACGUUUUUGCACACUCAUUGACUAUCAACUGGUUGUCUAUGACUCAAAUUACAUAAUGAAUCCAGCACAUAAAUUAUUUACUCAGAUUUAAUGCCAGCAACUGUUAUCUUUGUAUUUUUUUCCCCUCUGCCAGCUAAUCUGGCUCAUUUCAUUGGAAUUUUGGUCAUGCCCAUUCUCCUUCUGCACUAAAUUAACUCCAUAACGUAGUAUAAACAGAACAAGCUUGUGUGUGAUAUGCUUAACUGUUAAUUUACCUAAUUAAACUAAUUCAAUUAAAUCAUUUACAUCUUUUUGGUAACAUGCCAGUUGAUACCACAGCAGAAGUGGGAUGUUUCAGAAGAUGAUUGUUCAGCAAAUGAAUGGAAAAAAAAAUAAAAGGAAAACAAAAUGAGACAACCGUCCAAAUCUCUUGGCUUGAAAAUUAAAUGAUACUGAAAAAAUGCAGCUUUCACGGGGCACUGUGAUUAGAUAUUUUUCUGAAAUCAAUUUUCUCUACAAAUUGGUAUUUUA
rnacentral:lncRNA from 1 species